rnacentral:rRNA from 1 species
CUUCGGGGUGAGCGGCGGACGGGUGAGUAACGCGUGGGAACGUGCCCUCUUCUACGGAAUAGCCCAGGGAAACUUGGAUUAAUGCCGUAUACGCCCGAAGGGGAAAGAUUUAUCGGAGGAGGAUCGGCCCGCGUUGGAUUAGGUAGUUGGUGAGGUAACGGCUCACCAAGCCGACGAUCCAUAGCUGGUUUGAGAGGAUGAUCAGCCACACUGGGACUGAGACACGGCCCAGACUCCUACGGGAGGCAGCGAGUGGGGAAUCUUGGACAAUGGGGGAAACCCUGAUCCAGCCAUGCCGCGUGAUCGAUGAAGGCCUUAGGGUUGUAAAGAUCUUUCAGCUGGGAAGAUAAUGACGGUACCAGCAGAAGAAGCCCCGGCUAACUCCGUGCCAGCAGCCGCGGUAAUACGGAGGGGGCUAGCGUUGUUCGGAAUUACUGGGCGUAAAGCGCACGUAGGCGGAUCAGUCAGUCAGGGGUGAAAUCCCGGGGCUCAACCCCGGAACUGCCUUUGAUACUGCUGGUCUUGAGGUCG